rnacentral:lncRNA from 1 species
UCUAAGGCUUGGAGGAAUUCCAGGAGUCUGCGUACAGGAGAUGGGGCUUCCCGAGCCAUGAAGAUAGUAUGGAUUUGGUUCAACAGGGAGGAGGGAGGGAGUGCUGCGGGAAGAUGAGGGAGAGGCGGUGCGUUUUCACAAAAGGAAAGCUGGAAAGAGGAGAAUGAGCGUGGCCGUGUGCAGUAAGGAGAGCAACUUGAUGGGAGAGGAAAUAUCCUUGGAUUAGUGAGAAAUUGAAUCCAGUAGGUAAAAAGAGGGCUUUAAAAAUGUACGAAUUAGAUGUCCCUCUGCCCCUGCCUCACCCCCCAGCCCCCACCCUGAUAGGAACUCUACAAUGACUCCUCAGGACUGUGGUAUAUAUAUCAUGAAAGAAUGAUCGGACUUUAAAUAGCAAAACCUUCUGAAUUCAUGAUCUUUUGACCUCGAGUCCAAGUGGAUUUGUGUUUUCCCAUGUCUCCACAUAAGAAUAAUAGUUCUUGUAAGUAUUCAGAAGUAUGCAUACUGCUAUCUGGAAUUUAAUUCAGUGCAUAGCACUUAACACAAUUUAUUAUUUAUGCCUCCUACUUGGUCUAAAAUACUUGGUUUCACUAUGCAACAUAGACUGAUCUUGAAUUUGAAGGGAAGGAGAAAAACUCUUCUUCUACCCUUUUAGGUUCAUUCGCUGGGUCUGCAAAUCAAACGGUUAAUAGAUUCACAGGAGAGAACAAAAACAUUUAAUUACCCAUGUGCCCAAGGGAGUCGCAAAGAAAUGUGCUUCAGGGAAACAGAGUUGGAGACUUAUGUAUCAUCUUAAGAAAGGGUGAUAAGUUGUGGGAAAGAGGCUAGACCUUGGGGCUUGGGGCUCCUGGGGAUAGACGUAAGUAAUGGGAAAGUGACUAGGAAAUGUAUGAUAAAUAAGGAUUGUUAAGCAGAUAGACAUUGUCUAAUUAUCUCUGGAGUAGCUCUCCUCUUUGUAUAGGAGAUGGAGACACCUUUACAAAGGGAAAUUUAUGCCCCGCUUUUUUACAAAAAGGGGGUGCAAAAACUAAUUGCUGUUGGCUCAAAACAAUCCUUAUGCCGCAUUUUGGGAUGGCAAACUCUGAUCUCCUUCAAAUUCCUCAAUGGCAUUUGAGGUAAAUAAAAUUUAAUGACUCAGAAAAAAUGUCACUUAAGAUAAUUUGAUCCAUUAAGGUGACUAAGAUUUAGGUUUUUUGGGCCAACCUUGACUAGAAACUACUUAUUAAAGUUCAGGCUUGAGAAAGGCAAAGUCUGCGCCCUCCGUGAAUUCAUAGGCAUGUGAGGGACAGACAAAUAUACCAUCCAUCCCAGUGGAAGCAGUGCAUUCACAUUGUAAUAGAAUUACAAGGAUUGACAUUUUUAGGAUUAUUUUGGAGUAUAUGGCUUCUACUUUUGAGAUUGGGGAAUCUCAUAUGUUUCUUGUGGGUUGGACUUUUGUGAAUGGGAUUAGGAGAACUGUUCAGAACCUGGAAGUAUGAGUUUUCCAAAACAAUCAGCUCAAAUGCCAGUUUCUCCUUCCUUUUCAAUUUUUCUUACUUCCUCCUACCUUAUGAUCAAUUCGGUAAUGAUCUUAUAUUAAUAUAGUAGCAGAAUAGCUACUGCAUUUCUCUAAUGCUUUCUGUUUUUCCUGACCACAAUCGAAGGAGGAAUUUGGGGCAGGAAUUACUACCCUAGUUUAGAGACUAGAAAACAGAGAAGCAAAGAAAAAUGCCUGUGGUCACAUUGCUAAUUAAAUUCCUCUACUCUUGUCCAGUUAAAAGCCAUUUGAAGAAAUUUUAUGAAAAAAAAUCAUUGUUCUUUUUUUUUCCCCUGACUUUUCUGAGCUUUAAAUACAGAUUUGCUAAACAUAGCUAAUGUAUAGCGUCUACAUAUUUCUCUUCACCGGCCCAGUGAAGUUUAAAGAAAACUGUGAAAAACAGACUCAACCCACUGAUUUUGAGGAUAAACUCAUUUUAUCUAGUGGAGCCUUUCUUUUGAGUUUGGUAUUUUAUGAUAUCAGGGAGUCAUUUUCUUCAAAAUUAGUUUUUAAAUUCUAGUAUAAUUAAUGUUUAGUGUUUUUUAAAGAUUUUAUUUAUUUAUUCAUGAGAGACACAGAGAGAGAGACACACACACAGAGAAGAGCGUUUUAUUAGUUUCAGGGGUACAGUAUAGUGAUCCAACAAUUUUAUACAUUAAUCAGUGCUCAUUGUGGUACUUGAUACUGAUACAUUAAUCAGUGCUCAUUGUGAUACCCUUACCUAUUUCACUCACCCCCUACCUCACCUCUGAUAAGCAUUCAUUCUCUAUAGUUAAGAGUCUGGUUUUCUGUAUAUGUUUGUUUUGUUUUUUGAAUAGCACAUAUGUGUGAAAUCACGUGUUGUCUUUCUCUAAAUGCUUCAUCUCACUUAGCUUUAUACUCUGUACAUCCAUUGAUGUUGUUGCAAACGGCAAGAUUUCACUCCUUUUUGUAGGGAGGUAACACUCCAUUGUACGUACAUACACCACAUCUGCUUCAUCCACUCAUCUAUUGGUGGACGCUGAGGUUGUUUCCAUAUCUUGGCUAUUAUAAGUAGCUAUAAAAUAGCAAUAAACAUACGAAUGCAUGUAUCU